UACGUAGGGUGCGAGCGUUAAUCGGAAUUACUGGGCGUAAAGCGUGCGCAGGCGGCUUGCUAAGACAGGUGUGAAAGCCCCGAGCUUAACUUGGGAAUGGCAUUGGAAACUGGCGGGCUGGAGUGCGGCAGAGGGGGGUGGAAUUCCACGUGUAGCAGUGAAAUGCGUAGAGAUGUGGAGGAACACCGAUGGCGAAGGCAGCCCCCUGGGCCGACACUGACGCUCAGGCACGGAAGCGUGGGGAGCAAACAGG
rnacentral:rRNA from 1 species